AUCCAACUAACGAGUCCUAAAUAGGACGAAACGCGCAUUUGGGAU
rfam:Schistosoma mattheei strain Denwood, Zambia genome assembly, scaffold: SMTD_scaffold0005045